AUGGUGGAUUCACACAGUACCAAACAUCAAAAUGAAGGGCAAGUAUUUUCAGUCUCAGACCACUCACCUUCACCACCCCGUCCCUGCCCCGUGUCCGGCCCCCCCAGCCCUGCCUCCACGGCUCCCCCACCUCUCCCCCCCCUGCUUGCCCAUCUCCCUGCCCGUUUGCCGAACCUGCAAACCACCACCGACCCCCUGCCUCCUCCUUCCUCCUCCUCCUCCUCCUCCUCCUCCUCGUCCCCCACUCCUCCAGCCCCCCCUUUAUUUGGAAGCAACAUGUCUUGUUAUGUCCAUGAGAGCUUUCCCACGGUUAACCCCACUCCCUUCCCGUGCAUCGCUCCGAAAUCCGACCUGACACCGCUCAAGAGCCGGUCUCAUCCGAAACCCUUUCUGAUUGAUGAGGUUUUUCGUAGCCAGCCCUGGAUCCUGCUCUUCCUCCUCCGCCGAUCCCUCUUCUUGCCGCCCUCUCCCUGCUCUCACCCCUCCAGCUCUCUUCUCCCCCCCCCGACCCCGGCUCCUUCGCUUCCCCCCCCUCUAAGACAACUCAACCUGAACGGGAUAGGGCUGUGCAGAGCGGGGCUGGGGGGUGCGGGGUGGGGGGACAGGGCCCAGGGACCCCGGUGGUGCCCUCAACAUCGCUCCCGCCACCACCUUCACCCUCUGGGUCGGGUUUUUUGGGGCAGCCCCCGAUGUCCCCCUGUCCCCUGCUCCACGGGGAGGGCAUCAGCCCCAUCCCAGCACCAGCUCUCACCCCGGGACUUGGAGCCCCUUGGCAUGGAGGGGAGGCUCAGGGCGGUCACCCCACGGUUGUCACUGAUGCCACCCAUGGUGGGACGUGGCCCGCGUCCCCCUGCCGUGUGGCGUGCAUCCCCUGGCCUGGGUCAGCCCGGCACCCGCGUGGCUCCGUGGGGAGGACGGGGAGGGGACAGCGGGGACAGGAGAUCGGGGGCGGCAGCAGGCGGAGGCGCGAGCGUCCCCCUCAGCCCUGUCCCAUCAGCCUUGAGUUGCCUCCUCCCGGCGCCCCUGCGAUGGCGAUGCGGAUGGGCUCAGUACGAGUGUUUUGUACUCCUCUCCUCCUCCUCCUCCUCUUCCUCUCAUCGGCUUGUACCCAGCCCCUGCCUACAGCCCUCGGAGAGCAACAGUCCAACCUCCGGCCGGGCCGGGCCGUGCAACGCACUGAGGGGGGCGGCGGUGCCCGCCGGGGUGGGGGGGUGA
rnacentral:lncRNA from 1 species